CGAUGGUGGGGUUGAUGGAGGGGAUGGCGCACGCCCAGCUGUAUGUCUCGCUUACGGCGCACGGGGAAGGGGAAUUGGGGAUCCAGGCGUUGAUUCUGGCAAUAGAACGACUCUAACAACAGUUUAUAUUUGCUACACAGAAUCGACAUGGAAUUUGAGGUAAUAUUCCGGAAAAUGUAAAAAAAAGAAGAGCUGUAAGGAAGACUGCCAGGCCGGGCCGAGCACAAGGCGUCUUUUGUCGGUGAGUCGUUUUACCGAACACAUCGCGGGCGUUGCAUUCCCCGUUAGCCCAUGUGGUGUUUGAUGCAAUGUGCUGUGUCUUUCCUGUUCUCUCUCUGCUCUGUUUCUUCCACUACACUAACCUGUUUGGCUACUACCUCUUACUAAACUGAAGGCUCUGUUGCUCAUCCAAGUGAUGAUAUCCUUUCUUACACAUUUAACACUCUACCAAACCCAUGUGUACAAACAGCGAUCCCAAUGAAUGCGCAUAAAACGCCAUCAUCCUCCACAUGAAGAGAACAGUCACGCCGUCCCCACGCCUUGUCCCCUUCCCAACUGCAAUCCAUUAGCUUAUGAAUACCAGGGGGCCGAGCCUACCUACCACAGCUCGUUUCUUCCGGCACAAGGGAGGACCCAUCACAUGCUUCAUACCAACCCGUCCCACGCACCAGUCUUGCAAAAUACUCUCCCUCCUUCGUCUCUACUGAGAUCGAUAAGCACUUGCACUGAAAGCGAGAGCCAUUAUACUUAUGUUGAUUACAAUACAAAGCGUGGAGGCGGUGGAGGACAUGAUGCCGAUGACAAGCCUUGCGGUCUCUGGUAGCGUACGCCACGAACGAGAAUAAUUCCAGACUGGAAGAUUGAUUGCUGUCUUCCAUCAUGGCUUUGCUUUCUCUCUCAUCGAUAUGACCGCACAGUUUCACAUGAGCAUGGGAUGUGGGGCCCGUUUCCUCUGCCAUCGCCCUUCAGCUUUCCUUUCCCCACGGGGCUUCCGGUUCAUCUUGCUGUUGUGGCUUCGCUACGAAAUCUACACAUCUAUGAAAAGCUUGUGACGUCCUAUCAUUGACGCCAUGAACGCCAAGCAGCCUGUGGAGCUUGAAAGUCGUGUAAUUUUCGAUUUGGGAACUGUUCUCGUGGUUUAAGUAGCCUCUCCGAUCAAUAAAUUUUCUCGCUUACUGUGGUGUUGA